GACCUGCGUUGGGAACCUUGAGAACCGACAGAAGUGGGACUAAAUCCAGGGUUAAGGGAAUGGUGACAGCUCAACUUUGCUGCGUCUGCACCCCCACGCAGACCCAGACAUGCGUGUGUCUGUAUCCCUGCUGCUGGAGAUACUCGGCAGUUCUUCACCGGCGAGCUUUAAGUCCAUGUUCACCAGCUAAAGCUGCCCGCUGAAGAGCUGCUGGGCCCAGCUCUGACCUACAGGAGAACACGCAGGAAGAGGAUUCCAAGGGAUGGGAACAUAUGCCACAAGCUGAUAUUGACCCUGUUGGUGUAGAAGAUGCCUUGGUUCCCUUUAUGGUGGCACCUAACAUGGGUGAGGCUGGGAGUAUAUAUGUACGAGUUUGUACUAAAAACAAACAUAGCCGCUGCACAGGAAAGGCAGUGAGCAAAGGCAAGACUGAAAGCAGAGGCUGGAAAUAAGUGUUGGCAGCUCCGGAGAGCCAGUCUCUCUCUCAUGCUUAGAUUCCCUGUCUCCUCAUUGCUCGGUGACCUUGCUGUACAGUGACUUGCUCCCCUAACUGUGUAAAAAAUCUAUGCCUCUCUAACUUUGUCUUGUAAAUAAAGACUGAAUUUGUCUGGAGACUGAUUUUAGUGAAGUCUGUCCAUGUCACUGAAAAUAAAACACUGCUGACUUCUUAAA